rnacentral:rRNA from 1 species
GACAGAGGGCGCAAACGUUGUUCGGAAUUACUGGGCGUAAAGCGCGUGUAGGCGGCUAAGCAAGUCGGGCGUGAAAUCCCAUGGCUCAACCAUGGAAGUGCACCCGAAACUGCAUAGCUAGAGUCCUGGAGAGGAAGGUGGAAUGCUUGGUGUAGAGGUGAAAUUCGUAGAUAUCAAGCGGAACACCGGUGGCGAAGGCGGCCUUCUGGGACAGUGACUGACGCUGAGACGCGAAAGCGUGGGGAGCAAACAGG